UACGAAGGGUGCAAACGUUGCUCGGAAUCAUUGGGCGUAAAGCGCACGUAGGCGGCCUCAAAAGUCGGAUGUGAAAUCCCGUGGCUCAACCAUGGACGUGCAUUCGAAACUGCGAGGCUUGAGUAUGGAAGAGGGUCGCGGAAUUCCCGGUGUAGAGGUGAAAUUCGUAGAUAUCGGGAGGAACACCAGUGGCGAAGGCGACUCUUUGGUCUGUAACUGACGCUGAGGCGCGAAAGCGUGGGGAGCAAACAGG
rnacentral:rRNA from 1 species